rnacentral:rRNA from 1 species
UACGUAGGGGGCAAGCGUUGUCCGGAUUUAUUGGGCGUAAAGAGCGUGUAGGCGGCCAGGAAAGUCCGCUGUGAAAACUCGAGGCUCAACUUCGAGCUGUCGGUGGAAACUUUCUGGCUAGAGUCCGGAAGAGGAGAAUGGAAUUCCUGGUGUAGCGGUGAAAUGCGCAGAUAUCAGGAAGAACACCCGUGGCGAAGGCGGUUCUCUGGGACGGUACUGACGCUGAGACGCGAAAGCGUGGGGAGCGAACAGG